AUACGAAGGGGGCUAGCGUCGUUCGGAAUUACUGGGCGUUAAAGCGCAUGUAGGCGGACAUUUAAGUCAGGGGUGGAAUCCCGGGGCUCAACCUCGGAACUGCCUUUGAUACUGGGUGUCUAGAGUGUGGAAGAGGUAAGUGGAAUUCCGAGUGUAGAGGUGAAAUUCGUAGAUAUUCGGAGGAACACCAGUGGCGAAGGCGGCUUACUGGUCCAUUACUGACGCUGAGGUGCGAAAGCGUGGGGAGC
rnacentral:rRNA from 1 species